rnacentral:lncRNA from 1 species
GUGGAGGCAGCUGGUUUUCUGUUCUACCUGAUAACUAAAUUUCACCCACCUGGCAUCCAAUGUCUAAACCAGUCCCUGAUUAGAGGGGAACAAUGAGGGAGAAAAAUACAGUGGAACUGGCUCCGAGGUCCAGAGUUGCGUUUUGAUGGGAGUAGGACACAUACUAAAAAUAAGGUUUAAGGUAUGAACGUCCCAAUGAUACCAGAUAGCACUAACCCUGUUGGUGCGGAGAAGAGCCUUGAUAGUGGUGGGCGGGAACAGGAUACAUCCUCCUCUCAUUGGUUUCCACAAGAUAAGACAGCCACAAAGUCCAAAUUGGCUGUAUCGUAACAUUUCAUGAAAACAAACGUGCGUUUGUGUUAAUAUACAGUUAGCAGUGUGGUUAAGGUUAGUUUUAAAAUCAGAUUUUAAAUUGUAGAUAUAGGCGGGGUUUAACUAGUGACAACCAUUCUCAUUGGCCAGACCGCGUGUGUGUAAUUUACACAGUAGGUGAUGCGCGGCUCAGUCAAAACAUUGUUACCUGUUGUUGAUGCUUGAAAGAUUCCACGCUUGUACUCAUGGCGAAAAGGCGAGCUGAAGAAGUUUUGUUCCACGACACGCCUGUUAAAAGAUCAUGUUUUCGUCCAUUUGACAAAUUUGAUACGCAGUUAGAAAGCAUGGCUGCAGCCGGGUGCGUGAGUCCGCCAUCUCUGCUCGCUUUGUUGGGGAGACGCUGCAAAAAGAGACCGUAUUAUUUCGAAGAUCAGGAGGAGCAUCAAGAAACACUUAAACCGCGCAAGCUGUCAAAUAGUGAACAUCGGGUCAGUGCACCACCGAGUGUGCUGGUAAAGAAUUCUGGAAGUAUCCGAGAGAGUGCAUCUGCGGACUCUGGUUGCUCAACGGUGACCUCUAAGAAACGUGCACGAGAUAACGCUGUCACAAGAUACGAUGCUCAAAGGAUUGUCACACACAAAGAUGAUGAUGGCAAUGACCUAUGCACUUUCAACUCAUUCCAGUACUGGAGGGUCCCUCUACCCGAGCUGGACAUUUCACUCCUUCAGAAUGGAAACCUCUCUGGAUCAAAUGGAGAACCCCCUGCCAAAGAAUUAUCCUGUGAAGCCAUGGAGUCAUAA